GACGAACGCUGGCGGCGUGCUUAACACAUGCAAGUCGAACGAUGAAAGUCGUUUUGAUAUCUUCGGAUUGAUAAACUUCUGGAUUAGUGGCGGACGGGUGAGUAACGCGUGAGCAAUCUGCCUUACACAAAGGGAUAGCCUCGGGAAACCGGGAUUAAUACCAUAUGAUAUCACAUUUUCGCAUGAAGAAGUGAUUAAAGAAUUUCGGUGUAAGAUGAGCUCGCGUCCCAUUAAUUAGUUGGUGAGGGUA
rnacentral:rRNA from 1 species